ACCACAUUGUCUUAUAUGAAAGUAUGCUUUAUUUACAAAUUAACACUUUUUUGUCACUGCAACUCGUUGUUUUUUGGCAUAGGGAUGGUCCUCGGCUUGCGUUUUUGUACGUUUCACUGGCCGCAUAAGCUUGUUUUUCUCGUAACACUUUUCUUCCUGAUGUUUUUCAUAAAUUUUAUACAAAUGUUUCCUGGUAUCAGACCUCUCCUUUUUAUAUUUUAUUGAUUUUUUAUAAGCUUUCUGCAUUCUGUCUGUUUUUUGUAUAGCUUUAAGUUCUUUUUCAGCAGCAGACCCAGGACUGAUUUCUGCCCCAAGUUGCUUACAGAUCACUAGGAGAGACUCACCAGGACCAAGAUUUACACUAUGAAUAGCUGAAUGGACACGACCUUCAAAGUUUUUUGUAUAGGAGCAGCAUCCCUUGGUCGCAACAGAACAGCAGGUUUGGUGUCAUUUAUAGAUUGAGUAUCGGUAUCCUUAUAUGGAAUAUUUUGCACAAGAGAAGUCAUUUUUCUGCAGCAGACCCAGGACUGAUUUCUGCCCCAAGUUGCUUACAGAUCACUAGGAGAGACUCACCAGGACCAAGAUUUACACUAUGAAUAGCUGAAUGGACACGACCUUCAAAGUUUUUUGUAUAGGAGCAGCAUCCCUUGGUCGCAACAGAACAGCAGGUUUGGUGUCAUUUAUAGAUUGAGUAUCGGUAUCCUUAUAUGGAAUAUUUUGCACAAGAGAAGUCAUUUUUCUGCAGCAGACCCAGGACUGAUUUCUGCCCCAAGUUGCUUACAGAUCACUAGGAGAGACUCACCAGGACCAAGAUUUACACUAUGAAUAGCUGAAUGGACACGACCUUCAAAGUUUUUUGUAUAGGAGCAGCAUCCCUUGGUCGCAACAGAACAGCAGGUUUGGUGUCAUUUAUAGAUUGAGUAUCGGUAUCCUUAUAUGGAAUAUUUUGCACAAGAGAAGUCAUUUUUCUGCAGCAGACCCAGGACUGAUUUCUGCCCCAAGUUGCUUACAGAUCACUAGGAGAGACUCACCAGGACCAAGAUUUACACUAUGAAUAGCUGAAUGGACACGACCUUCAAAGUUUUUUGUAUAGGUAACAUUUUUUGGUAGUGAUCUACGCAGUGAUCUGUUAAAUCCCUCGACUUUUUGAGUAUUU